rnacentral:rRNA from 1 species
UACGGAGGAUGCGAGCGUUAUCCGGAUUCAUUGGGUUUAAAGGGUGCGCAGGCGGAUAUAUAAGUCGGAGGUGAAAUUCUGAUGCUCAACAUCAGCCGUGCCUUCGAUACUGUAUAUCUAGAGUCAAGUUGGAGUAGGCGGAAUGUGUUGUGUAGCGGUGAAAUGCUUAGAUAUAACACAGAACACCGAUCGCGAAGGCAGCUUACUAAACUUUGACUGACGCUCAUGCACGAAAGCGUGGGGAUCAAACAGG